AUUCUGUCCCCACCAAGGCCAUGCCUGACUCGGCAGGAUGAUUGUUUCAUUUCUCCCUGUACUGCAAAGUCGGUGCCUUACUGCAGAACAGCAUUGGUCAGUGCAGCGCAUGGUAAAAUGAAGACAACACUGUCCUUCAUCUGACACUGUUUCUAAUGAGAAGUUCACAGCUCUGAACAGUCACAUGGUGUUAUGUUGGUCAGCCAACUACCUUCAGGGAUUUGCUGACAAGCCCCAUGUUUCCUGCAAGUGCUUCAUUGACUUCAGUUACCUCUCCAGACAGAGGAGAGUUCACUGGCAGCCUUCACAUUUUCCAGAGCACCACACUCAUCCUGAAGCACAGUGGAUCUGGUAUGCAGUUCUAUCCCUUGACCGGCAGGAAGCCAUGGUGGUAUACAGGCUGCAGACCAUGGCCUGAAUGUUCCUUGACAUUUCCAGUGCCAUGACUGAUCGGGGUUCCAAGGGUUGCCAUGCUAUGCCUCCAUCACCACUUACUUUUCUAUUGCUGUGAAGAGACACUAUGACCAAGGAAAAUUAUAGAAGAGCUUGCAGUUCAGAGGGUGAGUCCAUGGCCCCACGAGGGUGAGGAACAUCAGCAGGCAGCAGGCAUGGCUCUGUAGUAGGAGCUGAGAAUGUGUAUUGAAUCAGCAAGUACAAGGCAGAGAGGCAGAGAGAGGGAGACAGACUAGGCCUGGUGUAGGCUUUUGAAAUUACCCCCAGUGACACACUUCCUCCAACGAGCCCACAUUUCCCAAUCCUUCCCAAACAGAUCUAUCAACUGGGGGCUAAGCAUUCAAAUAAGUCCAAGGGAGCAGCCAUUCUCAGUCAAACCACCGCAGCCCGCCAAGGUCAGCUACAUACUGGUUAUUUUCAAUAUUUGGGAUCAAAUUCAGGUCCUUGGCCAUACUAAGCCAAUAUUUACUACUAUGCUUCUUUUACAAAAAAAUUUUUAGAGAUUAUUUUUAUGUGUAUAGGUGUUUUAUCUGCAUGUAUGUUUGUGCACCACUUGUGAGAGCAGUGCCUGAGGUGUCAAGAGGAGGAAAUCAAGAUCCCCUGGAACAGAAAUGAGAGGGUUGUUAGUUGAUAUGAAGGUACCAGGUCCUCUGGAAGGGCAUCCAGAACUCUUAACUGCUGAGCUGUCUCUCCAGCCCCCCCUCUACUUAGUUUUAAAGGCUCUUUGGGUAUUAGACAGUUGGUUUUUCUUCCACUUUUACAGGUCUGCAGGUGGAGUUUGGG
ensembl:lncRNA